UAACUAUUAAACAACAGCAGGUGUAUGUUAACAAGAUACAUAACUCUCUGUUUGUCUUCUCCUCUCAAGUUGCAGAUAUGUUUCACUUUCAAUCAACGUUGCCCAUAUCUUUAUCUCUUUUUCCUUCGUUUUUUCCUAGGUUCUCUUCUCACGUUGAGCACAAAAGAGAUAAAUUGUUUUGUAUUGGGAGUGAAAUUUCAAGGAGAAAUCAGUAAGCAAGACCAAAGAGAGGGAAAACCGAGAAUGAAGAAAGAUGAGCACACUCGGGGCCUCAGGUUCUCUUCUCACGUUGAGCACCAAAGAGAUAAAUUGUUCUGUAUUGGGAGUGAAAUUCUGAAGAGAAAUCAGUAAGCAAGACGAAAGAGAGGAAAAACCGAGAAUGAAGAAAGAUGAGCAGACUCGGGGCAUCAGGUAAGCGCUAAGAUUAUGCGGUGGGAAAAGGAUGCGGUGGCUGAGAAGAAAUCAAGAAAGCUACACGUAGUAUUUGUGGAUGGGAAAAAAUCCAGGUUCUCUUCUCACGUUGAGCACAAAAGAGAUAAAUUAUACUGUAUUAGGAGUGAAAUUCCAAAGAGAAAUCAGGAAGCAAGACCAAAGAGAGGGAAAACCGAGAAUGAAGAAAUAUGAGCACACUCGGGGCCUCAGGUAAGUGAUAAGAUUAUACGGUGGGAAAAGGAUGCGGUGGUUGAGAAAGAAAUCAAGAAAGCUACACUUAGUAUUUGUGGAUGGGAAAACAUGCAGAUUCAGGUGUUGCUGAUCCUGCUAGUGCGAGUUGAGGGCUCCCAGCGGACAUUCAGAGUUCACGAGAUGGUGAGGACACGCGCUACUGGUCAAGGUGGACGACCCC